ACAUGCUUGGAACACAAGGUUGGGAUGGAAUUGAAGAGUUGAAGAUUUGAGGUUUCCUACUUCAAGUAGGAAAGCUAAGCCUAAAAGUUUCCAUUUUGGGUUGAUCUUUCCUAAUUUGGAAUUGGCAACCAAAGUUUCUAAAGUUGGAAGUUUCUAUUCUUGGAGGUUUCCAUUUUCGUGAGUUUCUAUUCUCGGCUUUGGGCUUUUGGACGACCCAUCCUUACUUCUUGGACCUAUGUCGCACCUAAACCCUAACCCUAGCCACUUAAUCAGCCGCACCUAGGCCUUGUUCACAUGCAAAAAUCUGAUUGUUUACCCUAAGCCCAUGCCGCACCUUUCCAUCCUAGAAGCCUUAUUUUACAAACCUUAACCCUAGCCCAUUGUUUCAAUCUGAUUUCAUUAGGGUUUUAGGUGCCUAUAUAUAUGUGUUUUACUCCUUUGGCCGAAUAUCCACCCUCUACACAAUUCAGAAAUUCAUCCAACCUUAUUUCCUCACCUUUCCGCAGCCAUCAUCACCCUUAGAACCCCUAGCCGCCACUCCUCCAUACAAACCAGCCACUCCCCACUCCUUGCCGCAACCAGUCCACACCUCUAGCCACCAUCCUACACCUCCAUACACCAUUCAUACCCCUUGCCGCACCACCAUACCAUCCUAACUCCCUUCUAGAACCAAAAUCACAUCCAAAAUCACCCUAAACCCUCUCUGCCGCAGCAAGGAGAAGAAGAAAGAGGAGCUUGAAGUCAGAAAUUCAAAGUGGAAUUCUUGGGCGUUUUAGGUGUAAUCUUUCUUAUGUCUUCGAUGCUUCAAUUCAAUAAACUUUGUGUUGUGAGUAUGAAGAACUAAACCCCCUUAGUUGGGGGGUAAUUCGAAACCAUGUAUAUGCUUGCAAUAUGAUUUGAUUACAUUCAGUUGUUAUUACAUAAGUUGUGGAUUCAAUUCGUUCAUCUAUUUGAUUGAUGACUUAUUUGUGUAUGUUGAUUGAGAGUGCACACUUAGUUUUCAUGCAUGAAUAUGAUGCUAGAUUAUGAGGGAGUUUCACCUAAUAGUUACAAUCUUAUAAUCACAAGUAGUGAAGGUCGCUUGAAAACGAUCGCGUUGAAUGAUUUCUUAGCAUAAGUUUCAUGCAAUUCAUAGUAACAAAUGCUUCGUCAAUGCUUAUGUUUUUCAUAGAACGUAAUGAUUCGUGCUUGUAUCUCUAUUAUGCAAUUCAUGUAGGGAACUUGUAGGGAAUGUUUUGGGUUGUCGUAUGCAAUCAUCCAACCUAAUAACUUGUGGAAAAACUGAGGGUUAAUUAGUGGAAUUCACGGUUAAUUUGGGGCGUUGAGUAUUCAUAAUUUAUUGGAAGAACAACUGAAAAUCGUUUUGUUUGCAAGUGUGACAUGUAUGGAGAAGAACCUCCUAACUAGCCUUUUAUCCAUCCUUUUUCACCAAAAUCGAUUUUACAAUCUGUGUUAGUUAAAGUUCUGUUUUUGUGUUAAAUUUUCGUCCAAAACAAAUCCCCCUUUAAUUUGAAGUCUUAGAUUAGUUAGAAAGUGUUUUGAUUUGUGUUUCUAAGUAUUUUGAUUCAAGUUUUCAUCAAAUUUCGUCCAAAUUAGUGUAGGGUGCUCAAAACUGCCCAGAAAGUGGUUUUUAGGCAGUUUUGAGCCUUCUAGUUGCUGUUUUGAGUUUUAGGUUUGUUUAAGUGUUUCAGCCUUUACUUUUGCAUUCUUUGAGUCUAGUUUAGUGUUUUAAACUUUGUUUUUGAGUUUUUAAGUC
rnacentral:lncRNA from 1 species